rnacentral:rRNA from 1 species
UCAGGACGAACGCUGGCGGCGUGCUUAACACAUGCAAGUCGUACGCGAACGCACCUUCGGGUGUUAGUAGAGUGGCGCACGGGUGAGACAUGUAGGUGACCUGCCCUUCAGAGGGGGAUAACCAGAAGAAAUUCUGGCUAAUACCGCGUACGCAAGACAAUUUUAAAAGUAGUCUUGUGGGGACCUUCGGGCCUACUGUCAUUGGAUGAGUCCGCGGCCCAUUAGCUAGUUGGUAGGGUAAUGGCCUACCAAGGCUACGAUGGGUAGCUGGUCUGAGAGGAUGAUCAGCCAUACUGGAACUGAGACACGGUCCAGACUCCUACGGGAGGCAGCAGUGGGGAAUAUUGCGCAAUGGCGGAAACUCUGACGCAGCAACGCCGCGCGAAGGAUGAAGGCCCUUGGAUCGUAAAGCUCUGUCGGUGGGGAAGAAACUACUAUUGGAUAAUACCCGGUAGUACUGACGGUACCCACAAAGGAAGCACCGGCUAACUCCGUGCCAGCAGCCGCGGUAAUACGGAGGGUGCAAGCGUUGUUCGGAAUUAUUGGGCGUAAAGGGAGUGCAGGCGGAUUGUUAAGUCAGAUGUGAAAUCUCGGGGCUCAACCCCGAAACUGCGUCUGAAACUGACAAUCUAGAAUCUUGGAGAGGGAAGGGGAAUUUCACAUGUAGGGGUAAAAUCCGUAGAGAUGUGAAGGAACACCAGAGGCGAAGGCGCCUUCCUGGACAAGUAUUGACGCUUAGGCGCGAAAGCGUGGGUAGCAAACAGGAUUAGAUACCCUGGUAGUCCACGCCGUAAACGAUGGGCACUAGGUUUUGUGGGUAUUGACCCCAUCAGAGUCGUAGCUAACGCAUUAAGUGCCCCGCCUGGGGAGUACGGCCGCAAGGCUAAAACUCAAAGGAAUUGACGGGGGCCCGCACAAGCGGUGGAGCAUGUGGUUUAAUUCGACGCAACGCGCAGAACCUUACCUAGGCUUGAAAUCCUGAGAACCUGUCCGAAAAGACGGGGUGCCCUUUGGGGAAUUCAGUGACAGGCGCUGCAUGGCUGUCGUCAGCUCGUGUCGUGAGAUGUUGGGUUAAGUCUCGCAACGAGCGCAACCCCUAUCUUUAGUUGCCAGCAUUAAGUUGGGCACUCUAGAGAGACUGCCUGGGUUAACCAGGAGGAAGGUGGGGAUGACGUCAAGUCCUCAUGGCCCUUAUGUCUAGGGCUACACACGUAAUACAAUGGUCAGUACAGUGGGACGCGAACUCGCGAGGGGGAGCAAAUCUCAAAAAACUGAUCUCAGUCCGGAUUGGAGUCUGCAACUCGACUCCAUGAAGUUGGAAUCGCUAGUAAUCGUGGAUCAGCACGCCACGGUGAAUACGUUCCCGGGCCUUGUACACACCGCCCGUCACACCAUGGGAGUUGGUUUUACCUGAAGUCGUGGCCCUAACCGCAAGGAGGGGAGCGCCUACGGUCGAACUGAUGACUGGGGUG